GUGUAUGAGCAUGUGUUUGUGCAGAGAGGGAGAGACAGCUGAAGGAAGCUGAAUCGCACUGUUCUUGGUCCUAUACAAGCUGAACUGCUUCCCUCCUCUCUAUCUGAUGUGUAUCUGACUCUCCUCUGUACACUCGGCAUGGCUGCAGACUGUCUGCUCUCGGAGUCAGAUCUUCCCACGGGGAAGAGAUGGAGGGGCGGGAGGGGAGGAAGAAAGAGGGAGAACAGAGGAGGGCUGGAGAUGAUACUGAGCCAUGUGGAACAUCUUCGGUGCAUUCAUUUUAAAAGGGAUGGACACAAAUGCGUGCUUUAGUAAAAGAGAAGCUUAAGUGCAGAAUAUAUUCCUACAAGGUGAAGCAUGUGGAGCAGAAGACCCAUGUGGAGAACCUUCUGGAAGCAGCCAAUGUGAAAGCUGAUUUACAGUAAAAACGUCAAUACCUGCAGAGAAGACAACUUCAAGAACAUCAAAGUAAAAACAAAUCUAAAAGUGGAAACAAUGUACAAAUCAAACAGAAAAAGAUACUAAAGCAAUGAUCUGAAGCUUAGCUGCCUAAAAGUAUAAGCAGUACAAUGCUUGCAAAGGUUUUCCUUAUACUUUUUCACAUUUUGUCAUACAAAAACCACAAAUUUCAUAUAUAUAUAUAUAUAUAUAUAUAUAUAUAUAUAUAUAUAUAUACAUACAUAUAUAUAUAUAUAAAUUACUAGGAUUGUUUUUGACAGACUGUGGAAGCAGUAUAAAUGCUCUCAUUGACUGUAAAGGAUGCGUAAUUUCUGCUGAGUUUGUACUGUGAUGGAGUGGAGCAUAGACAGUUGCUGUUUAAAUUGGAGGUAAGGCUUUGAAACCAUUUUAUUGUAGCUCUGGUUGUAUGUUUAGAGUCCUGCUACAAGGUAGCCUCUUGGCUACUUCUUUGAUUAAGGCUCAACUUGCCUCACCUGUCAGUUUAUGUGAACUGCCAUUUUUUGUGGACAGAAAUUAAAUUUCACAUCAUCUUGCUUCCUAAUGGUGAAACAUGGUGGUGGUAGUAGCAUGCUGUGGAGAUGCUUUUAUUCAGCAUGGACAUGGAGGCUAUUUGGAGCUGAUGGAAGGAUCAACAAAGUAAAAGUCAAUCCUGGAAAAAGCCCUCUUGGAGGCUACAAAACACUUGAGACCGGGGUGGAGGUCCACCAAACUGUCAACCCUACUAGGUUUUUCAUGAACAACAAAAAAAAUUAUGUUUUUUCUCAACACAAAAGAAGAAAGUAAGCUAUCUAACUUGACAUCAGAGAGAUAUGUGAACAUUUGACUUUCCAAUAAGCGUCUUUAAAGUUAUUUCAAGCAUUUCCAGACUGAUUCCAGACUGGGAAACUCACUACAGACCUUUUGGUUUAUUAACUAUGUGAUGAUAUAUUGACUUGUCAUUGUUAUUGUUAUUAAGAAAAUCAAUAAAAGGAAUGAAUAAAAAUCA